GUACGGUUUUGAAAAGUAUUGGAAAGAUUUAAUACUUUCCAUAUACAAAAAAUCGUCCCAUGUACUCCAUUUUACUCGCUGAAGACAAAAACGAUAGGGAGAGUUCGACAGAAAGUUUGAAGACGAAGAAGAUGUUCGACGGCCGACCACUGUGAAAAAAUUUUGCUCGAAACUUUGAAGAAAUUUUGAGUAUAAAGAGAAUGGGGCGAAGGAGUGAAAGAUGAUGACCCAAUAAGGAUGAGACAAUAGAGAGGAUGAAGAAAUAUACGAACAAGAUCAAAUGGAUUAUCAACCAAUUCAAAUCGUAUAUCCUGGAGAGGAUGAAUCCGAUUUGAGAGGUCCAACCGGGACACAAAUUGUAUUGUACAACGAAAUGAAAAAUGUGAAACCGGAUGUAGUAUUUGAAACGCUUGAAAACAAGAUGCAUAUGAAUGACGGAGAAGAUGAAUCAAAUAUAAAGUGUAGUAUAUAUAUUAUAAGAUUUGUUCUAAUGUUUAUAAUUUUAUUAUUUAAGAUGAUUGAGGGAGAUAGAACCUCUGAAGUAAAUACUAACUAUAUGUCAGAGUCUGAUGAGGACAAUCUACUCAUUGCACAAAGGAGUUUGUUCAAAGAUAUGUCAAGGAAAGGGAAAAAAAGUAUAUGAAAAUGUAUCAAAUAAGAGAAAGAGAACUGGAAAGCUAAAAAGAAAAGUAGAGAAGAAGGAAACUAUUAAAAAGGAAAAACAAAGUGAAAAAAAAUAUGAAAAAAGGAAGGACAGAAACUACACAGGUAUGUAAGAAUUCUAAAGUGCAUAAAAAAGAGCCGUCCCAUGAAGGAUAUUGAUCAGGUGCAGUUUAUUUAAUUUAUACAUACUAAGUUAAAUUUAGUUCUAUAAGGAAGAUAGUAAAAUUCUCCAUGUACCUUGAGCACAUUUCCCCAACGAAUUUUUGGGUCGUUUAUAAUUCGACGACCCAACGUUGAUGCUGGAUCCUCAUUUGGAGGCUUGUUGUGAAUCGAAGACUCCAGAAACCAAGAUUUUAAAGAUGAAUUUGGAUUUACAAACCGUUCCUUGGACCAUUUAGGCAAAAAGAUAAAAUUGUCCUCGGGUAUUUGGGAGUCCAUAAUAUUCUCAAAUGCCCUCUCUCUCACAGCACGAAUGAUCCCUUCCUCUAAAAAUUGAUCUCACAGGAAGAAUGAUCCCUUCCUCUAAAGAUUGAUCUACGUCCUUCAGGAUAAUUAAACACCUUUU